rnacentral:tRNA from 1 species
GAGGGUGUAGCUCAGUGGUAGAGCAUCUGCUUAGCACUCACAAGGUCCGGGGUUUAAUCCCCAGUAUCUCCA